AACGCUAGCUACAGGCUUAACACAUGCAAGUCGAGGGGAAACGACAUCGAAAGCUUGCUUUUGAUGGGCGUCGACCGGCGCACGGGUGAGUAACGCGUAUCCAACCUGCCCACCACUUGGGGAUAACCUUGCGAAAGUAAGACUAAUACCCAAUGAUAUCUCUAGAAGACAUCUGAAAGGGAUUAAAGAUUUAUCGGUGAUGGAUGGGGAUGCGUCUGAUUAGCUUGUUGGCGGGGUAACGGCCCACCAAGGCUACGAUCAGUAGGGGUUCUGAGAGGAAGGUCCCCCACAUUGGAACUGAGACACGGUCCAAACUCCUACGGGAGGCAGCAGUGAGGAAUAUUGGUCAAUGGACGAGAGUCUGAACCAGCCAAGUAGCGUGCAGGAUGACGGCCCUAUGGGUUGUAAACUGCUUUUAUAAGGGAAUAAAGUGAGUCUCGUGAGACUUUUUGCAUGUACCUUAUGAAUAAGGACCGGCUAAUUCCGUGCCAGCAGCCGCGGUAAUACGGAAGGUCCGGGCGUUAUCCGGAUUUAUUGGGUUUAAAGGGAGCGUAGGCCGGAGAUUAAGCGUGUUGUGAAAUGUAGACGCUCAACGUCUGCACUGCAGCGCGAACUGGUUUCCUUGAGUACGCACAAAGUGGGCGGAAUUCGUGGUGUAGCGGUGAAAUGCUUAGAUAUC
rnacentral:rRNA from 1 species